rnacentral:rRNA from 1 species
GUAGGUGGCAAGCGUUGUCCGGAAUUAUUGGGCGUAAAGCGCGCGCAGGCGGUUCUUUAAGUCUGAUGUGAAAGCCCACGGCUCAACCGUGGAGGGUCAUUGGAAACUGGAGAACUUGAGUACAGAAGAGGAAAGCGGAAUUCCACGUGUAGCGGUGAAAUGCGUAGAGAUGUGGAGGAACACCAGUGGCGAAGGCGGCUUUCUGGUCUGUAACUGACGCUGAGGCGCGAAAGCGUGGGGAGCAAACAGGGAUUAGAUACCCUGGUAGUCCACGCCGUAAACGAUGAGUGCUAAGUGUUAGGGGGUUUCCCGCCCCUUAGUGCUGCAGCUAACGCAUUAAGCACUCCGCCCCGGGGGAGUACGGCCGCAAGGCUG